rnacentral:misc_RNA from 1 species
CCUCCUGCUAUUCUCAAUACUGCC